AAAAAAGCAGGGGUCUGUUGCCUAUGUGAGCAGUCCUCUUGUAACCGUCAGGGAUAUAAUUACCAUUGUUAUUUGUUCCAUUAAUAUAACCUUA